UGGGGAUGGGCUUUUUAAUUUGUUAACUGGGUCAGGUUUUUUUUAUAUUGGCUGUAUAAGUCAUGCUUUAGUCAAAUCAGAGACUCUAAAAUUGGUACUCCAAAAGGAAGAGACUGGUGGUCACUGCGGCCAUUUGUUUCGGUGAACUAGCACCUUAAAGUCCAGAUAACCCUCAGGCCAGCUGGCUAGUACAUUAGCAGACAGGUACUUUUGUACCAUUUGGC
rnacentral:lncRNA from 1 species